ensembl:lncRNA
CUACACCAUAACAUUUCCAUUCCAGUCAAGCAAUGUACAGACGAAGGGAAACAAUACGACAAUAAACAAACUUCUUUUAACCGUCCGCAUUUUGUGGUUUAAUGCAAAAUAAACUACACGGAUUCUUAAAGCAAACAAUCCCGCGACGUUUACAACCAACCCUGCGUGUGUAUACAACGUCUCGUCGCCGUGGAAACGCCGUUCCCGCACGUCUGACGCAAGGACGUCACGACGAUUGGUACUUUUUUUGUUUUUGCUGCCUAGCAACCGGUUUCCGUGGUAACCCUUAAAGGGGCGGCACAGUGGUUUAAUGUUGUCUGUGAGGUUUCACAGACGAGGGAAAGUGCGCUUCCAUGUUUGCAUUCUUUAGACUUUUACGAGCUCUUCAGAGGCGAGUAUUUCGGUUUUUAACAUUUAGACCACACAAAGACUUACUUUAGUUGCCAUUUAUUUUUGCAGCAAGUCCCAUUAGCCAUGUAGCCAGUGUGCUAAUCGUCCCGUUUAACUGUGCAACGUUGCAAACGAAUGGUAGCUGUCAUCGUGCUAAAACAGUAACGUUAAAUUACAGAUCUGCACUGUAUCAUAAUCAUGUUCGCACGCUCGAUUAUAGAGACAAACAUCUCGAGAAGUGUAUAAUCUGUCGGAGAGUUAGUCUGCAGUAGUCUCCUGCAGUCUUGUGAGCCAAGACAGGCUGCUAGAGAAGAAUAAAACAGUUUCACAAUCGGAAGUCGUACUUUCUUUAUCUUUUACGCUUCUGAUGCCAACUAGUUUGACUGUUUCUGUUAAGUAAUUUUGGGUUUGCAUAAAGACCAACGGCUGUGGCUAGUUUGUUGAAGUAACUUUAACUUUAUCAUGUGGUGAAUUUAGGCGUCUUUGUUUUAAAGUCGUUGAUGUUGUAUAAAACAACAACCCACCCAUAACAAACCAGUUAUAAAACUAUAAGACUAAAGAUAUAUACAAAGUCCAUUUAGUGUUUAUUGUACAGUAUUAUCUACAUGAUAACUAGGUAUCUACAAUCAACAUAAAAUAGUGAUGUCAGUUUAUUGCAAUUAAUUAGGAAAUUAAAGAAAAAAAAUCAAUUAAUCAUGCCCUUUGACCCUGUAUGUAAAUUCCAUAAUAAUACAUUAAAGCAAUUAAAGCUUGAAGCAGGUUAUGGUAAGUCACAUAAGUACAAGUAAUAAGUAUAAGGACCAUGCUUUGAAAUGACUGAUUUAAGAGAUGCAGUUUGUGCUGUAAAUAAACUGAAAAAGCGAAUAUUGAUAAAAAAGUAUUCCAUUGGCAGUCUAGCUAUUCAAAAGACAGAAACUGUGGUGAGAAACUAUAUGCUAUGAAGUUCAAAAAAUGACUCACAGACCUGCAGUGUGAACUGAUUGGCACUGCAAGUCAUUAAAGCACUAGUAUGAAUGUACAGAAACGGAAGUGUAAAAAAUCUGAAAUAUUUCCAUUUCCAAGAUCAUCUUAAGAGCAUACAGGCCAAAGUUAUGAGGCAGCCUAAGGUUUAGGUUUUAUAUUAAACCUACUUCAGCCUAUUUGUUUUAAUUUAUUUACAAUUUUUUUCAUACUUAUGAAUUUUAAAUAGUUUGUGCACCUAUGCUCUUUAAAAAAAAUAAAUAAAUAAAAACAUAUAGAAAUAAAAUGUAUUCUUUUUAAAUGUUUUGUUAAGUAAGUUAACCUACGAGAUGAUAUAUAGGCGGGUCAUUUGGCAUGCUGAUAUGGCCAGUAAUAAUGAACUAACUUGCAGGGAGAGUUUACCGAGGUGAUCAUCAUGUUUUGUUGUUUCUUAGGUGACUGGAGUUUGUGUGGUACUGGCAGAACAAUGAAUAGGAAAAUAUGUUUAUUUGCAUUUCAGUUCAAAUUGCCCAUUUUGGCUCCUGGCUUUUGGUUGUUUCAGUGCAUUCAUUUGGCUUUAUGCAAAAAUAAAGCUUUAAACCAUUUUCCUGUUUUGGCACUACUUCAGAGCCAUAUUGUUUGCUUUGGUUUGUUUGUUUUCUUGGAUUAACCCUUGCCAUCUUGCGCCAAAAAAAAGUUCCAUAAUGCUGGGGAGCGCUGUAUGUUUUGUUUACCCGACGCGUUCUGUUUUCGUCUCUCUGGUCUUUGUACAGUUUGAACUCCUGCAGCAAUCACGAGAGUGUCUUGUUUCCUGGGGAGGCGGGACAUGUUUGCCUGGUUCCCUGCCCAAAAUAUUUGUAACCAGGCAACAGCUAGGCCCAUCCCACAAUAGAGUUUACUCUUUGGGCUUGGACUGCCAUGUUUGCACAGACGCAUGGAGUUGCAAAGAGCCGGAACAUCUUCAGUUGAACUGAAAGUGACUGUCUGCUGCUGUAACCUCCAUUAACACGGGGGUUUGUUUACACAGACUUUGGCUACCCGGCAGACAUUUUAGUUGCUGAAAAAAACAAUACUUGCUUUAUAAAGUGAGUGCAAUGCUAAUGAAUAAGGAAAUAGUUGAGAAUAUGAACUUGAAUGUUACCCUACUGAAAAAAAAAAGUUUUAUGUGGUCUGCAGGCUGGUUUUGAGCAGCGGUUUUCAGAUUUUCUUGUUUUAACCAAUGAAUUUACAUG